UACAGAGACUGCAAGCGUUAUUCGGAUUCACUGGGCGUAAAGGGUGCGCAGGCGGCCAAGUGUGUGAGGCGUGAAAGCCCGGGGCUUAACUCCGGAAUUGCACCUCAAACUACAUGGCUAGAGCAUUGGAGAGGGUAGCGGAAUUCACGGUGUAGCAGUGAAAUGCGUAGAUAUCGUGAGGAACACCAGUGGCGAAGGCGAGUCCCUGGACAACUUCUGACGCUGAGGCACGAAAGCUAGGGGAGCAAACAGG
rnacentral:rRNA from 1 species